rnacentral:rRNA from 1 species
GUGUGAAAAACUCCGGUGGUAUGAGAUGGACCCGCGUCUGAUUAGCUAGUUGGUGGGGUAACGGCCCACCAAGGCGACGAUCAGUAGCCGGCCUGAGAGGGUGAACGGCCACAUUGGGACUGAGACACGGCCCAAACUCCUACGGGAGGCAGCAGUGGGGAAUAUUGCACAAUGGGGGAAACCCUGAUGCAGCGACGCCGCGUGAAGGAUGAAGUAUUUCGGUAUGUAAACUUCUAUCAGCAGGGAAGAAAAUGACGGUACCUGACUAAGAAGCCCCGGCUAACUACGUGCCAGCAGCCGCGGUAAUACGUAGGGGGCAAGCGUUAUCCGGAUUUACUGGGUGUAAAGGGAGCGUAGACGGCAGUGCAAGUCUGAAGUGAAAGCCCGGGGCUCAACCCCCGGGACUGCUUUGGAAACUGUGCAGCUAGAGUGUCGGAGAGGCAAGCGGAAUUCCUAGUGUAGCGGUGAAAUGCGUAGAUAUUAGGAGGAACACCAGUGGCGAAGGCGG